UACGGGGGGGGCAAGCGUUGUUCGGAAUUACUGGGCGUAAAGGGCUCGUAGGCGGCCAACUAAGUCGGAUGUGAAAUCCCCAGGCUUAACCUGGGAACUGCAUCCGAUACUGGAUGGCUUGAAUCCGGGAGAGGGAUGCAGAAUUCCAGGUGUAGCGGUGAAAUGCGUAGAUAUCUGGAGGAAUACCGGUAGCGAAGGCGGCAUCCUGGACCGGCAUUGACGCUGAGUGAGCGAAAGCCAGGGGAGCAAACGGG
rnacentral:rRNA from 1 species